rnacentral:rRNA from 1 species
UACGGAGGGUGCAAGCGUUAUCCGGAUUCACUGGGUUUAAAGGGUGCGUAGGCGGGCAGGGAAGUCAGUGGUGAAAUCUUUGGGCUUAACCCGAAAACUGCCAUUGAUACUAUCUGUCUUGAAUAUUGUGGAGGUGAGCGGAAUAUGUCAUGUAGCGGUGAAAUGCUUAGAUAUGACAUAGAACACCCAUUGCGAAGGCAGCUCACUACGCAUAUAUUGACGCUGAUGCACGAAAGCGUGGGGAUCAAACAGG